rnacentral:lncRNA from 1 species
GUAACAACAGUGUUAAAUGUGAGAAGGCGCCGAAGGCGGCAACGGCAAGCUUCUUGAAUACAGAACACAAAGAGGGAAAAAUGCCUGGCAAUGGUCAGAAAAUAAGAGUGAAAUUCCAAAAAAGACCCUUUUACAAUUCCAGCAUAUCGUGUAGGCACCCAUGGAAGACGGCAAGAUAGAAAGUGGCGUGCAUAGGGCUGGUAGAUAAGAUUUUAACUCUCUUCCUGAAUAAGGAGGCAGCAAUGGCCAAGGGGGUCCAUGCAAGAAGGACCCAUGUAUUUGAUUUAAAAUAGCAUUGAUGAUCGGAAUCAUCUAUACCAACGGGAAUGGAGUAAAAUUCCAUGAUCUAAAUAAUAAUCCUGAAAUACUAUUGUACAAAUUAGAAAGGGACGUCGGAGAAAAAGAAUCCACAAGCAAGACAGGGGAUCCUACCCCCAAAACCCCCGAAGCCAGGAUGGACCUUUCAUCCAUUCAGGAGGAGCUGCUAAGGUCACCAGCCGCCAGCAACUCAAACGCUGAAGUAACAAGGGAUGACUUUAUAAAUAGAAUGUUCCAACAAGGGAUGACUUUAUAAAUAGAAUUAGGAUUGCUUGUAAUGAAAUAGUACCAUUUUUAAAUAAUUUCACGUUCGGUUAUUCGUCGAUGUGAAUUAUGUAUUGCAGAAAAAGGUUCACAUUUCGAACACCUUCUUUAAAUUUGUUAAUUGUUUGUUAUGUUCUUGUAAUCUGUUGUUUGUUAUAAAUAAGUUAUAAGUAUUUGUGGUAUUGUUCUAUGUUGCGAUUUAUUAGACGGUUGAAAUAAAUUUAUCUUUAAAUCUUAAGUGAUUUUUACAACCCAAUUUGGGGAGAAAACGGAGUCAGAUACGAAAAAAUAUCAAGAGGGCAUUUUUGUUUACAAUUAAAUGCACUAUUUAGAAAUGAUCGUUUAAUCGACUUAAUCCAGUGGCGUCAUAUCUCCGCCACUGGCCAACGUAGAAACAUGACAUUAUUUACGAUUAUGACCCUUCAUCCUAGAAUUGUUUAUACCAAUUUUGAUCUCAAUAUCUUUGAUAGUUCGGAUAUUAAAAAAUAAAAACUUUUUUUUUUGGGAAACUUUGACGCCCUGUAUCUCAGAAACAAAAAGUUUGACGAUCAAUAUUUAUAUGAGAAACCUACCUUAAAAUUAAUUUUUCUAAAUACUGUUAAAGUCCUGCUACAAAAAAGUGAAACACCCUGUAUAAAUAAUAAAACCAAUGUGGCAUUCUUAUUCCAUAUUUGCAGCCAUUCUAGGCCUAAACCGAUUACCGAUCCUUUUUUGGCUUCCUAUUUUUUCGUUUAGAAUAAAAAACUUUUGACUUUCUGUCUCUUCUUUUUCCCAUUUUUUAAAAAUAAACGUAAAAAACUCAAUAGUAUAAAGAACAACGCGCACAAAAUUGGAACACCUUCGCAAUAAAAUAUUUCUAAGUGAACUCCCGAUCAAUUACUCUCAAUCUAAAAAUCAAAAUUCAACAUUUCAAUUUUACAUAAUAUUGAAUUCAUGUUGACCAGUAGCCGAUAUUGUCAUUUGCGCAAAUCGUGCCGAACAAGCGUCGCGCGUUUCUUGAUUUGAUUCAUGCUAGCCCGGCCAUGCGUUGUUGCCAAAUCAUACUACAACAACUUAUCGGCGGUUCAAGAAAUUGUAAAAAAAAUGCCUGAAUUUGAAGAAAAAAAUAAAUUUUGAGAAAUUAAAAAAACUAGCACUUAUCAACUCUUGAAAAAAAUUUGUACAUUUUAUUAGUGAAAACCGCAUUAAAAAAUAUUGUAAAAUAAAAAAGUUAUCCUGCAAACAGGAAUUUGUGGGUGAAUAAUACACUUAACUAAAUAGUUCUUGAAGAAUUACACAAUCUGAAUUACGAAACUUAAAGUAAUAAUCAAAUAAUACCAAAAAGGGGGAAAACAGGAGAACAAAUUUACUUACAUGCGCAAUGUUAAAAAUGCAAUUAAUUGCGAGCAAGAAGGGUGGCGCGGACCGAACGUGUUACUAUAAAUAUUAUUUUACCGAAUUCGACCGUAAACGAUUCUUCAUUUCUUGGAAUAUAUAAAUGCUUAAUCAUUUUUUAGAUUAUCAGUUGGCCUUUAUUUUAUAUUUAAUAUUUAAGUUAAAGAAAAGUUGUUUAAAUCCCAACAACUGUUGUUUCACACAUUUUAGUUGUGGUAUUUAGACCAUGUUCUAUUUUUUUAAAGCACCCAUGGACCAUGUCUUCAUUUAGCCCAAAGGUAUUCAUAAACAUUUUUUUACAUACCCUCUUUUUCUCAUUGAUUUCUCAAGUAAUACCAGUACGUUCCAGCUCUUCUAGAAGGCUCGUCUGCUUUGGAUGAUCUUUUUGUUGUCGUGUACUCUAUAUUUCCCGUGAUAUAAGCUCUUUUCUCCACCCAGUCCAUUUUUCCCAAAAUGUUUAAAAAAUGAGCCUCCUUUCGUCUUCUGUAAAUGUAUUACAGAAGUGUUUAGAAGAUUUUUGACACACGCUUGACCUGCAAGAAUCGCCCAUUUUUCUUUGUAGCCUGGUAAUUCCGUAAAUAAUUUCUUUCUUUUUGUUUUUUUUUGAUACCUGUUUUACCUCAUUCCCCUCAUUCUUUUGUACAUUGUUUUAUUAACCAACCAGUCGGCUUUAUCUGCGUUCUUCUUCCGUUUACGUGUUUUGGUAACUUCUCCAUUUUUUUCAGGUUCAUUGUCGCUACUUGGUUCCUUGUUUUCGGGGUGAGAAUACGAAUUCCAUUGACCUUUGCCUUGAUCAGUAGAGCCGCCAUCAUCUCUUGAGUCAUUUUCCAAACUUUCAGUCUAGGUGUCAUUAAAGUAAGGAUUCAAAAUUUCUUUAUCACAUGUCUUUUCUUUUUGAAGUGCCUGGGAAUCUGUUUUCUUCAUCUUCUGUUUCACUAAGGAUCUCCCUUAUAAGUUCUGCAUUAUCUUGAAGAAAAUCUGGAUCUUAAUGAACUUUGUCAUUAAUAUCUAUUUCACCAACAUCAAUAUAUACAUCUUACAUGCAGUCAACACUCACAAUCUUCUAAAACUGCAGGUUCUAAUGGAGCAGACCACUUGUGGGUCUCAUGCGUAGU